AGCUUUGCGCAGAGGCGAUAUCGUAACCAAUGAAGUUCAUCUGAGGUGCGAUUAUUGCUAGUUGAAAACUUUAACCAAUACCCCGCCACGUGAACGUGAAAUACCGUUCGCAAUGGCAAUUUUUGAAUGCUCCCACGGGAG
rnacentral:snRNA from 1 species